UUUUUUACAUUUUGGUGUUUUAUUGGGAUUUUAUGUAACAGACCAACACAAAGACCAGUGGUGUCCAAACUUUUUGUAGAGACGGCCAAAGCCCGCAAAUUUCAAUAAAUUUAUUGUUAUGUCUUUAGAUUUACCUGCUCAAUAAUAAACAAAAUGUUUAUGAAAUCUGUACAUCAUUAAAGAUAAAGAACAGAAAUGGUUUAGGACUGUUGUGCUACUAAAAGAAAUAGAGAUGAUUUCCACUUUUUUUGGGGUACAUCAGUUGUUUUCUAUUUUGUUGGUCAAAUUUUGAACAUUCUUGACUUGUAGUCUGGGGACAAACAAAAUAAUAUGGCCAUACUUUGGGCAGUCCUGUAGUAGGCGAAUUAAAGCUGCAGGUCAUCUGGGGUACGUCUCUAACAACUUUUAGUAUAUUAAGAAAUUGCAUAUUUUUUGCAUUCUUUUUCAAACAAUAGUCCCAAGUUCUGUCAAAUAUGAUGGGAAGCAACAGUGAACAUCAACUUACAAGUUUUGCCAUGGAUUUGGGCUUUGAUUAGGCCGCUUAACGCAUAAAUAUGCUCUGAUCUAAAUUAUAUCUCAAGUUUUCCUCAGCUUCGAACAGGUUUUCUUCCAGGAUUUUCUUGUAUUUAGUUACAUUUCCCAUCAAUUUAGAUCAGUUUUCCUGUCCCACCAAAAAAUAAAAAAUUAAAUAUCCCCACAGCAUGAUGCUGCCACCACGUGUAUCAUCAUGGGUUAAGGGUGAUGCAUGUAGUGUCAGUCGUGUAGUACACGCAUCAUGAAGGUUCCUACUUGCAUCAUGUAGUACUACAUGCAUCAUGUAGUACUACGUGCACUACAUGCAUUUGGUCCUACUUUCAACAUGUUUUUAUAUGUUGAAAGUAGGACCAAAGUUGCAGGCAGGAACUUGUGGUAACCAUAAUGAAAGUCUAAUCAUUAAAACAGAAAACCUACAGAACUUGCACAAGAAAACAGCUCCUUGCAUUGACUAAAGUGCUGUACAAAGUAAAACAAAUAAAUGCUCAACAAAAUUAAAUCAGUGUGAAUCAAAAAUACAACCAGAAUAAAAGAAGGUAAAAAUAAUAUAGAAACGUACAGCCAGUGAGGCUAUAUACAGAGGAAAUGUUGAAAUGGUAAAUAAUUAACACAAACUAAAAACAAAGUGGGGUCAUACUAACACUGAACUAGAGGAUAAACCGAAAUACAUAGAACAGAACACAAGAAGAUAAUAAAUGAAUAUACAUGGCACAGAGUUUGACCCAAAAUGGAAAAAUCUAAAUAAAUAUAAUAUACUUGGCAUAUUAUCACAACUUGUUCAAACAUUUUCCAUGUUGAAGCUCAUAUGACAAACUUAUGUUUAAAUGUCAAGAGACCCAUAGAGUUAAUUUUGGUCAACAUGGCAUAAGCAACUCAAAAUGUGGGAAAAAGCAGACAAUUGUGCACAUUCACUUGCAUGACGUACAAACAUACUGGCAACUGAGAAGUUGCUGGGAAACUGGGAGAUGUUGAAGGCUUGAUUUGGAACCUAACUCUACUUUUAAACUUUGGUCUAAAUGAUGCUGUUUUUAUCCCUUAUGUUCUCUAAAAAAUCCUCUGAGUCCAGAAACAUAACAGCUCCAUAUGUUUACUUAUAAGGUGCCUUUAAUUGGUUGCUCAUGUUUUGUUUUGUUUUUUUAUUAUUUGCCUUUCAUGUAUGUCCAAAUUACGCACUACUUUGUGUUUCUCUAUCACAUAAAAUGCACAAAAAUAGGUUGAAGUUAGUGGUCAUAAUGUGAAAAAGUUUAAAUUGUAUGAAUACGUUUACGUUUAUGGCUCAUCUAUGAUUGUAUCCUUCAGGUUUUCAUUAUUACUAGUUCCUGGAAAACUGCAGUAAAAAGCUCAGACAACAGGAACACUGACUCUAAAAUUACACAUUUCAGCAGAUUUUAGAAUUACAUUUGACAAGUUCUAACAUUCCUAUCAUCCAUCUCCAUAAAGGUGCAGGGUGGUCAGUAAGAUAAAAACAUGUAUUAUUUACACUUCUCUAGCAUGUGUGACAUAUCAUGUUGUGUAUGAGGAAAUUCAAAACUUUGUAGUGUCUUUUGUGUUAAUAAAAAUUUAGAAAUAUGUGAA